rnacentral:rRNA from 1 species
AUACAGAGGGUGCAAGCGUUAAUCGGAAUUACUGGGCGUAAAGCGUACGUAGGCGGUCCGUUAAGUUAGAUGUGAAAGCCCCGGGCUUAACCUGGGAACUGCAUUUAAAACUGGCGGACUAGAGUUGAGUAGAGGGGAGUGGAAUUUCAGGUGUAGCGGUGAAAUGCGUAGAGAUCUGAAGGAACACCAGUGGCGAAGGCGACUCCCUGGACUCGAACUGACGCUGAGGUACGAAAGCGUGGGUAGCAAACGGGAUUAGAUACCCCAGUAGUCC